rnacentral:tRNA from 1 species
UAAAGAUAUAGCAUAUUUAAUGCCUUUGACUUACACUUAAAAAAAAUUUUUAAAUUAUCUUUA